rnacentral:lncRNA from 1 species
UAAACUACCGAAUAUUUAAAAUAAUACUCUUUUAUUAACAGACAUUUUAUAUUAUAUUACAUUUCCUAUUUUAUCAAAGAUAAAAUAGGAAAACAAAUAUGUAACUAAGCCUAACUCAGUAACGUGGAAAUCUUUAACUACUUUAUCACAGAUAAUUAGAAUUAUAAAAUGUCGUAAACGCUUCUAAAUACAUUGAUACAAUAUUAUAAACAGAAAAAAAUUAUUUAAAACAAUUAACUUACUUUAUUUAAUGAAUCAUAAAUAAAGAGCUUAGUAUUACACUAGCAAUCGAAAUUACACUUAAUUACACCUGUAAGCAACAAACUAUGUAUACCUCCGCGCAAUCUCUUCAACAGGGUUACUUUUCGAAAUUAUUUGGUGAAAAUUAAAUUCUAGCCAAGCAUUUCAAGCGCAUGCGCAGUUGCUCAGCCGGUUGUACCCACAGACAUAAGUCUCCCUGGAUCGCUUGCGUUGAAUCGCGCCUUGGCGAAUCUUGUUGGCGUCACAGAUCACGAUACGGAAAUAUCCCCAAGAGAACCACAUACAAAAAUUCAGGUACAAUAUUAAAUAAUGCAAGUUAUAUAAUAUAUAUUUAAAGUUUAAAGAAAACUGAAAAUUUAAGAAGUGCCCAUUGUUUACUUUCUACAAAAGUUCAGGAUACAGUUAACGAGUAAAGAAAAGUGUUCCAGUUUAUUUUCUACUGAUUGAACUUUUUCUGCUUUUAUAAAGGGCAACGGGUACAAAUUAAAGUUAAGCACUUUCACUUACAAUUCAAUGUUGGUAAACAAAACAGGUAGUUGGAUAUGGGUCGCAGGUCAACUUCUGUUGACAGUUCAGCUGAGUCUUGAGCAAUUACACACUCCUAAAUGUAAACUAUAGUUAGUGUUAAUUGGUUUGUUUUAACGAGUGACAGUUUUUUUAACACACUAUAGAAGUUCUUUUAUUACCAACAUAUAAUAAAUAAGUUAUCAGUUUUAUUUUUCUAGAGGUCGUGUACUCAUACGUUUUCAUUAGAGAUGGAAAUGGAAAGAUGUUCGUAUAAAAAUGUAUGUCAUCCGAUCAGUUCUUUUCCCAAUCAUGAUAAAGGAAACAUGGUUUUCUAGAGACCUUUGUUUGAGUUUAUUUAAAGUGGAUCUUCUGUCUUAUCAGUGGUUUUGAGAAGACAUCUACUUUUGUCAUCCUCAACUCUUUUUAAUAUUGCUAAAUUGCUUGUGAAGUAUUAUUUUUUGCAGUAAGUUUAAAUGAAUGUUAAUAUUGCAUCAGAAGUACAUGUAUAUUUACAUUAAAAGCAUUUUGAUUUCAUAAAAUAUCACCAAAAUAGACACUGUGAAAGUUUGUCAAUACAAAGAAAUGUUACAUUUAUUUAAAUAUAACUAGCAUGCAAAAAUUGAAAAAAUUUCUUUACCAAUAAAGAGAAAUUUUAAAGGUCCAAAAUGUUAGCCCAUUUUGAAAGUGGUAACAACUUUGAAUAAAAAUUAAAUCAGUUAAAAAAUAUUCAAUUAUCCUAAAUUGAAAUUGCCGAAAGAUAAAUUGCUGCUUCAUAAAAUUAACAUAGUUUAACAACUUUUUGCAUGUUGGAAGUGUCACAAAUACUAUUCCUCUGAUUAAGAACAUAUGAUAUUUUUACUUUAAAUGAGAAUAAUAUAUAUUUCAUAUGAUAAAAUAAAUUUUAAAUGUGUGAUAUAAAUUUUUUUUUUACCAUGAAUAAUAUAAAAGGUGUACCAAAAUUAAAGCCAUUGACCCAAUAUGCUAUUUCAUACAAAACUCUUAUACUGCAUACUUUAUGAAAAUUAAACUUGGUGUUUUUUAUCAAAAUUACUUUCUUGCAUGAAUUUUGGAACACCUUGUAGAAUUUUAUUGGCGUUAAACUUAACCAUGUGUUAAAUUGAUUGGUGAAUUAUCUCUUCACUUUUUAAUGUUGUUUAGCCGUAUGUAAGUCCAGAUUCCAUUUCCGAGUGAAUGCUUUACCACAUUCAGUGCAUACAAAAGGUUUUUCUCCUGUGUGUUUAAGGAUGUGCCUGUUUAAUGUUGUGCGGUCACAAGCCAAGUAGUCACAGAACGAGCAUGGAUAACAUGAUUGGUUUGCAAUUUUACUGACGAUAUAUCUUUUUUUCAAGGCUGUUGAUAUGCCUAAAAAAUUGAAAGUAGUGUUUUCAUUGGAAAAUAAACAUGUAUAUAAGACAUAGGC